rnacentral:rRNA from 1 species
CAGGCCUAACACAUGCAAGUCGAGCGGUAGCAGGUCCUUCGGGAUGCUGACGAGCGGCGGACGGGUGAGUAAUGCAUAGGAAUCUGCCCGGUAGUGGGGGAUAACCUGGGGAAACCCAGGCUAAUACCGCAUACGUCCUACGGGAGAAAGGGGGCUUCGGCUCCCGCUAUUGGAUGAGCCUAUGCCGGAUUAGCUGGUUGGUGAGGUAACGGCUCACCAAGUCGACGAUCCGUAGCUGGUCUGAGAGGAUGAUCAGCCACAUCGGGACUGAGACACGGCCCGAACUCCUACGGGAGGCAGCAGUGGGGAAUAUUGGACAAUGGGGGCAACCCUGAUCCAGCCAUGCCGCGUGUGUGAAGAAGGCCCUCGGGUUGUAAAGCACUUUCAGCGAGGAAGAACGCCUAUCGGUUAAUACCCGGUAGGAAAGACAUCACUCGCAGAAGAAGCACCGGCUAACUCCGUGCCAGCAGCCGCGGUAAUACGGAGGGUGCGAGCGUUAAUCGGAAUUACUGGGCGUAAAGCGCGCGUAGGCGGCGUGAUAAGCCGGUUGUGAAAGCCCCGGGCUCAACCUGGGAACGGCAUCCGGAACUGUCACGCUAGAGUGCAGGAGAGGAAGGUAGAAUUCCCGGUGUAGCGGUGAAAUGCGUAGAGAUCGGGAGGAAUACCAGUGGCGAAGGCGGCCUUCUGGACUGACACUGACGCUGAGGUGCGAAAGCGUGGGUAGCAAACAGGAUUAGAUACCCUGGUAGUCCACGCCGUAAACGAUGUCGACCAGCCGUUGGGUGCCUUGAGCACUUUGUGGCGAAGUUAACGCGAUAAGUCGACCGCCUGGGGAGUCGGCCGCAAGGUUAAAAC